GCCAGACUCCUACGGGAGGCAGCAGUGGGGAAUAUUGGGCAAUGGGCGCAAGCCUGACCCAGCAACGCCGCGUGAAGGAAGAAGGCUUUCGGGUUGUAAACUUCUUUUGUCAGGGACGAAGCAAGUGACGGUACCUGACGAAUAAGCCACGGCUAACUACGUGCCAGCAGCCGCGGUAAUACGUAGGUGGCAAGCGUUGUCCGGAUUUACUGGGUGUAAAGGGCGUGCAGCCGGAGAGACAAGUCAGAUGUGAAAUCCACGGGCUCAACCCGUGAACUGCAUUUGAAACUGUUUCCCUUGAGUGUCGGAGAGGUAAUCGGAAUUCCUUGUGUAGCGGUGAAAUGCGUAGAUAUUAGGAGGAACACCAGUGGCGAAGGCGACUUUCUGGACUGUACCUGACGCUGAGGCGCGAAAGCGUGGGUAGCGAACGGGAUUAGAUACCCCUGUAC
rnacentral:rRNA from 1 species